CUGCUGCCUCCCGUAGGAGUUUGGACCGUGUCUCAGUUCCAAUGUGGGGGACCUUCCUCUCAGAACCCCUAUCCAUCGUCGUCUUGGUGGGCCGUUACCCCGCCAACUAACUAAUGGAACGCAUCCCCAUCGAUAACCGAAAUUCUUUAAUAUCAAGAUCAUGCGACCUUGAUAUCCUAUCGGAUAUUAAUCUUUCUUUCGAAAGGCUAUCCCCGAGUUAUCGGCAGGUUGGAUACGUGUUACUCACCCGUGCGCCGGUCGCCAUCGG
rnacentral:rRNA from 1 species